UUGCUGAUUAUGAGGGAGAUUGGUGGGCAAUUGUUGUGUGCCUUGUUUUUCAAAGCCUAUAUAAAGAAGCAUGGAGAGGUUUCCGCAUAGACUGGAUGUUCCAAGGUUAUUGCCAUCCUUAUAAAUAUUGUAGAUCUUGGAUCGCUCCUGGUAGUAAGGUUGAGUUUCGAGUUCAUGUAGGAUAUUAUCCCUUCCAUAAAAAAGACUGUCGACCACAUCCAGGUGGUGUAGGCACCCAGCUUGAUUUAACCCUUCCUUUUCCAUUAACUAACAUUGAUUGCAUGCAAAGAUGUUAUGAGAGCUUGAAAAUAGUAGACUGUCGAUGGCGUCUGGUUUAUAAUAGUGAUUUUGAUGCAUGGAGAGCAAGUUCUAGGGGUAACCCUUUUUUAGGGUUAGAUUAUGGAAGUGACUAUGAUGCAGGAAGAUCAGCACCAUCAUCUACAUGUGAUUGCAGGAGCAGGAGGAGGCUCUUAAAUUAUUGGAAAGAGUUUUGCGCUUGUUAUGCCGGUAAUGUUGGUGAAAUGAGUUUAAAUUCUUGGCAUGAGUUUUAAGCUACUCACUCAAGUGAUAAUGGUCAUGACGACGAUGACGACAUUAUUUUUUUCCAUGAUGAAGUCUGCAGCCGUGGCUACGGAGAAGAGACGGUAAUUUGGACCAACGUUGACAGGCCAGCCCAAAUCCACCCAAAAGUAGUUGGGACCGGGUUUAGCUAUAUGAACUUUUUUAAAAAACUCUAUGGAGAAUGAUGAGGAGGAUAUCAAACACCUAUUGUUGCAUUUCCUUCUUCCUCAAAGCACAAAAUUCAGGUAGAAAAUUAUGACAUGGAGUGCCUGUGGGGGAGAUGUUAGAGAUGUUGAAGGCAAAUGGAUUAUGGGGCUUCUAUCUCAUUUGAACCAUAUCCUAAAGGCUAAAGGGAUAACUAAGGGACUGGAGCUAUGUUGGGAUCUUGGUUGCAGACAAGUAGAAGUGAGCUGGGAUUGCAAAGACAGCAUCAACAGUCAUCCGUUUCAGGAAGUUAUUUUGGAAGCUAGGGAGUUAAUCUAGAGAGAUUGGUUUCUUAUUUUUAAUUUUAC